rnacentral:sRNA from 1 species
GCCUUUGUGUCUUCUAA